CUUCUAGGAAUUUUGAGAGGAUUUAACUAUCCUUAUUAUGUGGCUUCCUUUGGAAACUCCCGCCUGGACAAUCUCCUGGACUGGGUGCAGAUCAAGACCAACUUCAAUCCCACAGAAGCUCCAAGUUGCAGCAUCCCAUUGUCACUGCACUUAGAAAUUAAAUGGACCAAUUACGGAUCCUUCGUGAAUCCUCAAGCACAGAUUGUGAGCAUCAAAGAAGUAAUUCAGAGCAACACCAGCAGUUUGACCCUGUUGUCCAGAGGCAGCAGUGUCCUUCCAAUCAGAAGCUCAGUGGCCUUCAUCCCAGUAUCUGCUGCUGCUCUUCCUGGUUAUAGGGCCACACCUACCAUCAAUGCCAAACUGCCCUUUGACUUCUUCUUCCCUUUUGUUUGAUCCAACUGCAGCUUUCACUUAUUUAAGCUUCCCCAUAAACACUGGUACAGUGUGUGGUCAUCACUAGUACUGUUAUUGGACCAUCAGUCUGCAACUGUGUAUUGUGUGAAUAAUGUACAUCUGAGUUUUCCCUUUUUUAUAAUAAAAUUUAAUACAUGG